rnacentral:rRNA from 1 species
UUGCUUCUCUGAUGUUAGCGGCGGACGGGUGAGUAACACGUGGAUAACCUACCUAUAAGACUGGGAUAACUUCGGGAAACCGGAGCUAAUACCGGAUAAUAUUUUGAACCGCAUGGUUCAAAAGUGAAAGACGGUCUUGCUGUCACUUAUAGAUGGAUCCGCGCUGCAUUAGCUAGUUGGUAAGGUAACGGCUUACCAAGGCAACGAUGCAUAGCCGACCUGAGAGGGUGAUCGGCCACACUGGAACUGAGACACGGUCCAGACUCCUACGGGAGGCAGCAGUAGGGAAUCUUCCGCAAUGGGCGAAAGCCUGACGGAGCAACGCCGCGUGAGUGAUGAAGGUCUUCGGAUCGUAAAACUCUGUUAUUAGGGAAGAACAUAUGUGUAAGUAACUGUGCACAUCUUGACGGUACCUAAUCAGAAAGCCACGGCUAACUACGUGCCAGCAGCCGCGGUAAUACGUAGGUGGCAAGCGUUAUCCGGAAUUAUUGGGCGUAAAGCGCGCGUAGGCGGUUUUUUAAGUCUGAUGUGAAAGCCCACGGCUCAACCGUGGAGGGUCAUUGGAAACUGGAAAACUUGAGUGCAGAAGAGGAAAGUGGAAUUCCAUGUGUAGCGGUGAAAUGCGCAGAGAUAUGGAGGAACACCAGUGGCGAAGGCGACUUUCUGGUCUGUAACUGACGCUGAUGUGCGAAAGCGU